GUAAGAACUCUAAAGUUGCAAUAUGCAAAGUAGUCUUUUGACCUGAGGCAUCAUAGAUGUCUAAUGGCUAGGUCAUUGAUCUUUGAUCAUGUCAAACGGCAUUCCAUCGGAUUGUCCACGGCAUUGUUGGGGUCAAGCUAUCUAGUCAUGUAGGCAUAUGAAUGCACAACAAGGGAUCUCUAACCUUCCAUGGUGGAAGGAGAAUACUCUAAGAUAUGAUUCUAAAGUCUUUGGCCAAAACAUAUGAAUAUGACUUAGGAAGUUUGUUCCAAAUCAUAUUCAAGGGAAUCAUAUAGAGAUGUAUCACAUUGGAUAGUAGACAUGAAACAAACUAUCACUCAAACAAUGUGGUUAAGCGUAUUGUAUUAGAGAAGGACCGUAUUGCAUUGUAGUUGCAACUGGAUAGGUUCUCCAACCAAUUCUACUUAGCUUGGGUAACCAUGACAUACUGCUAGGUGUCACUCAUGGUUUGUGGAAGCCCUAAAUGAUUAGCAAACACUAAUCAUUAAGGGAGAAUUGAAAUGUGGUUUCAAUUUCACAAUCGAUCGUUAAGAGUAACAAUUGCCCACUACCUCGCUAAUUGGAACCUAAUGGAUCGUACACCGAGUAAGGAUGUAUGUGAGGAAAUUAAAUAAAAUGGAUAAGCAAUUAAAUGAUUUAAUUGAAGAAUGGUCAAGAUUAAUUAAUUAGUUAAUUAAUUUUACGAAAGGUUCGUAUUGGGCUU
rnacentral:lncRNA from 1 species